rnacentral:lncRNA from 1 species
AGGCUCACAUGGGCCGUGAGUUGGUCAAGAGGGCUUGGCAGUGAGAUGCUCCAAAAGGCCAUUGAAUUCGUGGCUUUUCUGCAUCUGUUGAGUCCUAAGCUUCCAUACAACCUCAAAGUGAAGAGACUUACAAGUGAGUUCAGCAUCUCAUUCCUUUGGCAUCAAGGAGCUCUGGUUCAUUCAAAGACUCCAUCUGUUUGAGACCUCCUCCAGGACAGAAGCUGACUGGAACCAUGGAUGUCACCAGAUGCCUGGAAGAUGCUUCUUCAUCUUUCUCCCAUGAACUCAUCUCUGGAUCAUGCAGUGUGUGUGUGUAGUAUUCACUGAGUUCUCACCAUCAUACCUGAGGAGAUAGAGCCAUACAGAGGACAAGAAUGACUGUCCCAGGUGGUCUCAUGUUGGAAAGCUGGGACAGAGAUUGAAUCCAUGACUCUCCUUCCAGAACUGUGAGCUCUCUGCAGUACCAUCUUUACUCUGACAGAUAGUAGGUACGCAUAGAAACAGAAGAUACUAGUGUAUGACAGGACCCAUAAAUGGGAGCCCAUUCCAUCUUGCCAUGAGUUCAGAAAG